rnacentral:rRNA from 1 species
UACGUAGGGGGCAAGCGUUAUCCGGAUUUAUUGGGUUUAAAGGGUGCGUAGGUUGUUUUUUAAGUCAGCGGUGAAAGUUUGUGGCUCAACCAUAAAAUUGCCGUUGAAACUGGAAGACUUGAGUGUGUUUGAGGUAGGCGGAAUGCGUGGUGUAGCGGUGAAAUGCAUAGAUAUCACGCAGAACUCCGAUUGCGAAGGCAGCUUACUAAGCCAUAACUGACACUGAAGCACGAAAGCGUGGGGAUCAAACAGG